AGUGAACGCUGGCGGUAGGCCUAACACAUGCAAGUCGAACGGCAGCACAGGAGAGCUUGCUCUCUGGGUGGCGAGUGGCGGACGGGUGAGGAAUACAUCGGAAUCUACUUUUUCGUGGGGGAUAACGUAGGGAAACUUACGCUAAUACCGCAUACGACCUACGGGUGAAAGCAGGGGACCUUCGGGCCUUGCGCGAUUGAAUGAGCCGAUGUCGGAUUAGCUAGUUGGCGGGGUAAAGGCCCACCAAGGCGACGAUCCGUCGCUGGUCUGAGAGGAUGAUCAGCCCCACUGGAACUCGGACACGGUCCAGACUCCUACGGGAGCCAGCAGUGGGGAAUAUUGGACAAUGGGCGCAAGCCUGAUCCAGCCAUACCGCGUGGGUGAAGAAGGCCUUCGGGUUGUAAAGCCCUUUUGUUGGGAAAGAAAUCCAGCUGGCUAAUACCCGGUUGGGAUGACGGUACCCAAAGAAUAAGCACCGGCUAACUUCGUGCCAGCCGCCGCAGUAA
rnacentral:rRNA from 1 species